GUGUUGUAGUAGAGUAGAGAAGGUUAACAACAUAUCCCUUGACAAGGUUGGAAGAGACUGCUGAACUUUACCUCAUACCUAGAGGCAUUUCUACUUACCUUGUGGUAUCUAACUACUGUUUUUG